UCUUUCGAAUAGCUUGUCAGUUUUUUCAACUGUCCUGAAAGUAACUUCAGCGUGAACCAAUAACUUUUGCGGAGGAUAUGGUCAUAGGGAUGUUUAUUUUGAAACUUUGCUUUCGCAAUGUGCGUUUUAGCUAUUGCUUACGAAUAUAGUAUGAAUGACAGCAAUUAUAGGAGUAUUUAUUUAGACACGUAAUUUUGACAGUUGGUGAUUUUGAAAAUAGGUUGUUCCAAAAUUACUACCGUAAAGUUUAUGACUUAUGCUACUUAAAAAUAUUGGUUAAAAAUUUUUUAUGUGGUAAAUAGUGGUAUUUAUUGGGUUUUUAGUGGUUUUUGACGCAGAUAACUUGCGAAAGCCGGUCUGGGAUGACGGUCUUAAAGGAAAUGCGAAUUUCGUGGACUUUCAAGACGAUUCGACGCGACGGACGCGGCCGGCGCGACGGACGCGACGAGAAAGUUAACAUUUUGGGCCGGCGUCGCGUCGCAAAAAUCCCGCGCGAUAGUCGGGGUCGGCCCGGGCGCGCCCGGCAACGGGGCGGCCAUUUUGUCUGGCCGCUGUCCUUGGCGGGUUCAGCGCUCCCCCGCCAGGCGCGCUCGCGUCGCCGCGAAACUUUCGCACAAGGCCGGCUGCGCCGCCAUUUUGUCGGCGCGGCGCUGGCGCGGCUCCCCCCCCCCCUCCCCCUGCCACACCUCCGCCGCAGCGACUUUGCCAGUUUUACUUAAUUUUAACAGCUUUUCGACGGGGAAUCCGCGCACUUUUGCGCCUCGAGGUUGGGAAAACACCCGGGGCGCGCGCCCUGCAUGCUUUUAAGGUCGAUUUUGCGUGGUUUUUGACGUGUUAAUUGCGCCGUGUCGUAUUUGCGAAGGUCGCGGCCGCCGCCGCCGCCUCCCCUCCCCCCUCUCCUGGCUCCACUCCCCCUCCCCUCCCGUCUCCCCGGACUGCGGCCCGCGCCGCCCAGACAGAGACAGCGAAAGUUGUGACGCAAAUGUAUGUUGGUUACCAUGCAGCAGCGGGGAGCUCUGGUCGGCCAGCAGCCAGCAGAUGCGUGCAGGGUCCUGGCUGCGGUGCUCUGCGCAGGAGUCGUGGCGGAGACGUAGCGUGCGUGUCCUGCGAUCUGGUUCUGUGGGGGGAGUUUCUGGUGUCGCUGUGGAGGUUAAGUUCUGCAAGCAACCGAACCUGAUAUUCGGCGCGGGGAAUUCCACGGAGCCGGACUCGGGACAUUUCGGAGCAGCUGGUUGGCAACGCCGAUCCCGAGAUAAAAGUUUCGCAACCUCGGUCCGAGGUGGACGACCGAGCGGGGGGCCCCGGCGCGAGCAUUCCUGAGCGGCCGGACCUUUGGACGGCCCUGGAGCGAGCGCGGCGCGGCUGGCCCGAAAGCGUGCAGGACUGGGUGCUGUUAUCUCUCACCUCAGUGCAGAAGGCGGUGCCAGUCCAUCGCAGACUCACCCUGCCUUGGCUUCCUGAGGUCGUUCCACUCAGAAUAGAGCAGCAAGGACUCUUCACCACCAUAAAAGUGGAUUAGUAUGAGAAUUAAAAGCUGUCCGUGGGUGCCGCUAGAAUUUCUGCAAAGUAGAUGAUCACCAUUCCUGAAGUUCUGUGAGAGGCGCAGCAUGAAGUUUGCGGCACUGCACGGAAACCAAAACAUCAAGACAGCAAGCCUGAGAAGCUCCAAAACAGGUGGAUUUCGAAAGUUGUCGGAUGAGCCUGGAACCAGCUGUGUGCGGCGAGAUUUUCCGGUGACUCGUCAGCACAACUGGUUUGGCUGCCGAGACGAAUAUGCCUUCGUCGGCGAACUAGACGAGAAGAAGCACUGCUGCAUACGGACACGUCACUUACUGCCGAGGAGCAACAGUUGGAAGAGAGAAAACAAACCCACCAUCACAGGUGCGGCUCCCAAGGCAGAGCGAGCAGGGAAUUUUUUACAACCAAAGCUGUAUUAAUUCAAAAUGUAUGUCAUUAAAUUUAAGACCCACAUACACUGGCGUAGCUGUGUUCAUAAAGUUGGGGGGAACAAAUAAUGAUUUUGAUGUCAUGUAAACCCAUUCCCCUCUUACUAAGCCGGGGGGUCCGGGGUCCUCCACAGGAAAAUCUUGAUUUUUAAAGUGCAAAAUAGCGCUUUUUAAGCAGUUUUUGUAUCUAACCAUUGGAUACAUCGAUGUUAAAAUUAUUGUUGUUUCCUUAAGAUAAAAUUUGAUGAGUGAAGAAAUUACAAAUAAAGUUGGGCAGAAUAAUAUUAUAAAAUAAAAAUAUCACUGUCUAGAAAGUUGGGGGGGACAGUCCCCUCCACCCAAAAAGUUCAAGGGGACACGUCCCCCCUGUCCUCCCCCCCUCCGGUUCCUACGCCCCUGCCCACAUACAUUUUAUUACAAUAUCAAUUCAUUCUAAUUUUUACAUGAAAAAAAUUUUGGUUUAGAUAAAUCACCGAAACAAUUGACUACGUUUAAGUACUAGAUGAGCUUUAAAACUUUUUACUGAAGAAUUUAUCUUAAAAAAUUUUCCGGAGGAGUACCCCCAUAAAUAUCUGUAGCUCUGGGGGCUAUUCUAUUCCUCCCCAGGCCCCUAGUAUGGAUACUGUCUGAAUUGUUAGUGUCCCGCAAAAGUUAAUGGCAAAGUCUAGGGCCGUCACACUGUCCACACAUGAAUCCGACCAUAUUAGCAGCUGCAGAACACACCAGAACACACCGUCAAUGAUUUUUGAAAAAACUCUCUACUGACAAACCAUUGUGCUAUGUAGGCUUCAAAAAUUUAAGUUUUAAAUUGUAGGUCAAAGUUAAUGACGAAGUAGCUCAAGGAUUCGCUAAAUGAUUGCUACUGUCCAAUUGAAAAGAAAGAAUUAGAUAUAUACGUAUUCACAAAAAAACCUUUCUCAACAUAAAAUUUGAAUCCCUAUUUUAAGAAAAUCAUUUUGUUAACAGCUUAACACUUUAAUUUUGUGAGAAAUUAAGAGUUGAAAUCUAAACAUUGCUUUCAGUUUUUUUUAAUCUAGAAAACACUAUGUCAGCUAAUUUACCUGAGAUUUACUAUGUACAGAUAUUUGAUUGUACUUCAGAUUAAAACCCUGUUUUUGUAUCCCUUAUGUUUAGUUAAUGUUGGUAAAUAAAUCAUAAAAACAGUUUAUUUAUUAACAGCACGUAUGUAGGUGUGCAUAUAAUGCAUAUAUGAGGAUACUUGUGUAUAAAAAUUAACUCUUUUUAUAAUGGUGCUUUGGAAAAAAAAAAACGAAAGAAAACUGUUGUAGCUUGAGAGUUUUAUCUUUCUAUGAAUCUUAAAAAUUACUUAAUGGGGCUAUACUAUUCAAUCAGCCAUGUUACGCAAUGAUUUAAGUACCGUUCUGCAGGCCAAGUGUAUGUGUAAGAUGUACUAAUACUUGUGAAAAUGCUUUGUUUUUUACCCCCUUUGUUUAUGCGUGGGCUUACAGUAACUAGACCAAGAUAAAAUUCUGAAAAGAGGUAAUUUUAUCACCCCUUGCAGUUUAUGCUAUAAUGUAAUAUCCAAUGCAUUUAUAGUAAAACUAUACAGAUAAAAAAUCUACAGGAUAUAUUAAUAGACAAAAAAAAACCCACAUAUCAUGCCAAAGGUUCAUAUAAAAGUCAAACACAUCACAACAUAUCUUUUUAAACUGUUACAACAGUCAUCUAUGGAACAAACCUUAAAACUCUUCUUUUAGGCACAUUUUGCUUAAAGAGUAAUUUUGCUUAAAGAGUAACUUCUGAAUUUUACAUUCAUGGAAGGACUAAAAAACAACUGCAUAUUUAUUGACAGAAUGUAGAGCACUCAUUUGAAAAAACCACCACUUAUAAUAAUUCACGUUCGUAAAUUAAAUUUAUAAUUGUAAAAAUUACUUUGGCAUUGAUUACAUUCCUAAAUAUUAUAAAUAUGUAGGCUAUGCCAAGAAUAUCCAAAAAUUGUUUGAAGGAAGAUCCUUUGAUUGUAAGUUCAGUAUAAAGACCUAAGAAAACUGUGCUCUGAAAUAAUUUUGAGUAACACAUUACGUAGUAUUCUAUUACACUUUGUAAGAAACACCAACAUUACUAAAUUUCACUUAUGAUGAAUAUUAUAUGUGACUGAAAACUAUGUGUUUAAACUUGUUAUUUGUGAUUCACAUUUUUACAUAUGAAAUGAAAAGUUUUUUUUCUUCCCCCCAGUUGUUUUGCUUACAAAUGUGCGUUACAUUUCUCAAGUUGUAUUGCCACUCCUGGAUGUUGAAAUUUUUUUUUAACAAUUGCGUUAUUAGUAAACCUUAGACAUUUAAUAGCAUUGUUACUAAAAAAAUGAGAAAUAAUACAUGCUUGUUCCUCAUUCUCUUGUUGCAUUUGAAGAUGAUAAGUGAAGUAAACCAUCCUUGAGACAAUUUCCAUCAUGAAUGUUCUUGGGACUUUUGUAUGCUCAUACAAGCAAUUUUGAAAUUCUUUAUCAAGUAUGGGAUGGUUUAAAGUUUUAAGUUAAAACAGCAAAUAAAUUUCCAUUAAUGCUUCAUUUGUGACACUUUCCGAAACUUUAAUUUUAAGACACAGUUACUUAAUUGUUGUCGUUACCUCCUUUGGGGAAAGGCAGAAUCUGGUCUCAACUCGAGCAGUACCCAGUGCUGCUGGUGAAACUCCAACUUCUUCACCACCAUCUUAAUUUUACUGUUUUUUUUUUUAACUUUUUUUUUUAGCAUAAAUAGUUAAAGGUGGUUAAUCCUAGCCAGUGAAAAAAGAAUUAACAUUCUUAAUAUUUUUCUAUGUGCUACUUUUCUUUUCUGUUAUAGCCUUGAUGUGGUCGGGGGGCUUCGGCGUUGGAUGUUUAAGCGCCACCAUUUCUAGGGGGCACUGCCCCCCGGCGGAGACUCUAACCCCUGGGCGUGACGUCGCCUGUGUGGAAACGUGACUCGUAUCCCCCUUAGCACAAUUGCCGUUAACCCCGGAACCUGUCCCACUCCCAGCGUUGGACAUGCCAUAGUUGUUGAUACAGUGGGCUCUUAUGGGCGUCCCACAUGCCGGUCUGCAGUAACUGGUUUAUACGUGGGUGGACGCAGAUAAAAACACAAUAAGUACGGUGCUGAGAUUCAAUAUAUGUCACGGUGCCACAUGCCUCUCGUACACAAUUACAAUUACUGCGAGUAUGCAUGCCUCAUAACAGCACCGCAUACCAGCCAAAGCAUUGUCCCCAGCUGGGAAUAAGGUCAUGAUCCAAAUAAUUAUAAAAAUAAUGAAAUUGAAAUAUUUUGAACUUAGUCCCUAUCACCAUUCGAAACAAUGCAAAAAAAAAUAAAUAAAUAAAUAAAUAAUGGAAAUUGAAUUAUCUAGGAGAAAAAAAGAAAAAA